rnacentral:lncRNA from 8 species
UAUUUAAAACCAAAUGCUUUUAGACUAUUUCUCAAGUAAUAUUUUACUUGGUGACUUUCACUUUUACUUGAGUCCUUCUCAAUUAAGGUAUUUUUACUUUUACUCAAGUAUGACAAUUGGAUACUUUUUCCACCACUGCGUAUGUGUGUGCGUGCCUGCCUAUCUGUGUGCCGUAGCCGGGCUGUGCGGCUGCAGAGCCGGUGGCAGGAGCUGAGUGAGAGAGAGCGUCAGGCCCAGCAGCAGAACAGGCAGCUGCUGCAGGAGUUUGACAGAGCCCAGGACACUCUGAGAGACAUGGUCACCCGCACCGCCGCUAUGAAUACCAUAAAAGUGGAGUAUGAAAGGUAUCUGGAGGAGAGCUUCCCUCGCUGGCAGCAGCAGCUCAAACAGAAGACACGAUCUGCCCAACGUAAGCGAAUGGAGCAGCACCUGAAGGAGUGCCUGAGGAGUAUGGAGGAGGACAGGGCUGAAGAGAGGGGCUCCAGACCCCCCAUUGGAGCCCAACCUCCACUUUCCCCAUGUCAUGUCCAACAGCUCCAGAAUGCCGCUGCGCAUCAAGAACACCACAACCAAAAUGGCCACCAGGACUACAUCCAAAAUGGCCGCCAUGAUCCCAGCAUCCCUUCAAUCCAGUCCUCCUGGUUGAUUCAUGCUCGUUCCCAAUGGGUUGAUUCCCAAACCAGAAUGCACUCCAAACUCCAACAAAGAGACAUGACUCACCACCCCGCUCACCCCCUCCACCCCUAUGACCCUCAGUCCCUCUACCCCCCUCAGCCUUACCCUGACCAGCCCCCUCAGUCCCUCUACCCCCCUCAGCCUUACCCUAUCCAGCCCCCUCAGUCCCUCUACCCCCCUCAGCCUUACCCUGACCAGCCCCCUCAGUCCCUCUACCCCCCUCAGCCUUACCCUAUCCAGCCCCCUCAGGCCUACUCUACCCCUAGUAAACACCACAUUGUGAUCCAGCAGGAGGCACCACCGACAGGGUUCCCCAUACAAUGGGCUGCUGGGGUCGCCACGGCUGGGCUCCCUUUCAGGGCCCCAGUGGGCCUUCAAACCUCCUGGACCAGCCCUGCCAUGUCGGAUACCCAGGGAUGGAGAAUGGUACAGGGUGUGGCGGGGGAGGAUCUGGGGAGUGCAGCGACUAGUCCUGAAGGAGGGAGCAGUGUGGGACACAGACAGAAGAGAGAGAAGAGCAGCGAUCUGGCACAUGAGCUUGACAUCAAACCAGUGCGUCUGUCGAGUGGACAUGGAGAGAGCAGUGAGAGCAGCAGAACCUCCAGUCAGGCCAGUAAAGACAGCGUCAGUAGCAGGGAGAGGAGGAAGAGGAAGGAGAAGAAUAGAGGAAGAGCAGGACAGAGCGCAACAGACAGGUCCUCUGCAGGAUCCGGGAAGGUGGUUAUUCCUGAGGCUUCAGUAUCUUCUGCCUCUGUGGUCCAAAGCUCAGAGAAUGAUGGGACAUCGGUGGUAGGGAGCAACAGGAGCAGGAUGAGUAGGGGACUGGCUAACCUAUUCAGUGCAGAGGAGUCAGGAAGUCAUAGAGACGAAUCAGGGAGUGAUAGGGAGUGGUCGGUGAGUCAAAAAGAGGAAUCAAGUCAAAUUCAAGAAUCAGUGAGUCAUAGGGCAGAGCCAGUGAGUCAAAUGGAAGAGUCAAGAAGUCAAAUGCAGGCGUCAAUGAUUAAAAUGGAGUCAGUGAGUCAUAGGGAGGAAGUAGCCAGUGAGAAAGAAGUAGGAGAUAAUGACAUGGAGGCCACAGAGGGAGAAGAGGAGAGUCUGGUUGGACUCAGCGUGGAGGAGGGAGCAACAGGAGAAGAAGAGAGUCUGGUUGGACUCAGUGUGGAGGAGGGAGCAACAGGAGAAGAAGAGAGUCUGGUUGGACUCAGUGUGGAGGGGGGAGCAACAGGAGAAGAAGAGAGUCUGGUUGGACUCAGUGUGGAGGGGGGAGCAACAGGAGAAGAAGAGAGUCUGGUUGGACUCAGUGUGGAGGGGGGAGCAACAGGAGAAGAAGAGAGUCUGGUUGGACUCAGUGUGGAGGGGGGAGCAACAGGAGAAGAAGAGAGUCUGGUUGGACUCAGUGUGGAGGGGGGAGCAACAGGAGAAGAGGAGGAGGAAAUUAAACAUGACAGAGAGGAGGGGAGGGAAACAGAGGAAGAAGAGGGAAUGGGAGAACAUGAAGGCGAAAAAGAGCAAGGAGAAGAUCAGGAUGAAGGCAAUGAGGCAAGCCAGAGAGACAGAGAGGAAGGAGAGGAGGAGGAGGAAGAGGAAGAAGUCCAACCAGAGAGUGAGAGCGUUUCUAUAAGGGAGCACACUGCAGAGGACGAGGAAGACAGGGAGAGGGGAGAAGAGGAAGCAGAGGAGGCGCAGGACUCAGAAGGGCAGGUAGAGUGCGAGGAGGUGGAACGGAGUGAUAGAGGCUUGGAGGAAGAGAGCGAGAACGAAAGAGAGGAAUCACACACUUCUCAGAACGGAGAGAUAGAAGAGGAGGAUGUGGGAGUUGGGGAUGAAAGAGAUGAUAAUGAGGAGGGGUCAGAAGGUGAAGAAGAUGGUGGUGAGGAAGAGGAGCAGCGUUGUCAGGAUGCUGAGGAAGACUCAGCAGCAGGGCAACCUGAGGAUGAAGAGGAGAGAGACUCUGACGACAGCAUCAUCUCACCACCAGAACACAGGUCAUCCAAAGGCCUGGCAGAGGUAGCGGAAGAGGAGGAGGAAGAAGUGAUCGGUGAUAAUGAUGAAAAUGAUGAUGAUGAAGAUGACAAAGUGAAAGGGUAUUCAUGGUCUGUAGAUCCCUUUCCAGAUGAGGAUGAUGAUAUUGAAAGUCUUCUCGCUCCACAAGCAAAGUCUCAGGAAAAACAAGAGAAAGAAGAAAAGAAGAAGACAGUGGUCCUUGUCAAACCCAAAGCCAUAGAUGAAGACUUGGACAGUUUCUCUGAAGUAAAAGCACUUCACAAAAAGAAAGGGGCUAAUCAGGACACAGACUCAGAAGAGUUUGAUCACUUCUACGACUGA